rnacentral:lncRNA from 1 species
CCCAAACGCUCUCCUCCUCACUUUGUUUUUCUUUCCGUCUCCUACUAAUCUCUUGCUUCCCCCCCUCACAUCUCCCCAAAUCCAAUCACUUCCUGGGUGCAACUACAGUCCCCACACCUCCGUCUGCUUCCACCCCCACCCCCACCCCGAGAAAAAGCAGGGACUAAGCGCAAGUUUCUGCAAAGGCAGGACGAAAGGGUGAAAACUGAGGGGGGAGACAAACGGAGAACAACCCUCGCCCACCCCCACCCGCGGGAAUUGCACUAACACUAGCAGGGCGGGGAGGCGAGAGAGCGCAGGGUCUUGUGCCCCCCCCCAACGGCUCGUGACUCCGGCUGCCGCCUUCGCUGCUGUUUCUAUGCCUCGCCUACAGCCGCAGCACGGGCCACGCAGGCGCCUUCCCCUUUCUCACCGCACCCGGAACGGCUUUCCCCGGUCCUCCGCCGCCACCGAACCGAAGGCGAGCGAGCGAGCGGCUUAAAAUGGCGUCGCUCACAAGGAGCUUCUUAUAGCGAGUGCAGGAACUCGACUGUAUCCUGCCGCCGCCUCGCCGGGCCGCGCGCGUAGCAUUCCACAGGCAACCCACCCAACGGCGCGCAGAGCACGGGGAGGGGAGCAAAUAAAAAAAAGGGGGUGGAGAAAUAGUGCCCCUCCACUCUGACUUUCCCUUUCCUCGUGCGCGCGCACACACUUCCCACCCGGCGGAGGGAGAUAAACGGGAGAGAUUCUUCCUCGACUCUGGCGGCGGAGUUUCGAGAAGAAGAGGAAUUGUGGGAACGGGGAAGGGGAGGGGGGAAGCAGGCUAAGCUGUGGAGGAAGAGAAGGCAGGAUGCGUGCAGGGAUUCAGCCUAGAGUGGAGGUGUGAUGAGGCCCGGGGUGGGGAGAGUUGAGCUCGAGAGAGACAGAGAGAGAGAGAGAGACCUUUUUCUGGAGGCCAGGAAGCGCGUUCACGCAGCCUGGAAAACGGGAAACAGGGCGAGAAAGUCGGCAGCUGGAGGGUUGCAGACUACGCUUUUCUUAAAGGUUUGCAUCCAGCAAAAGGGAAGAAAGAGACUUUCCAUGGCUCCUCGCCCCAGUUAUUCAAACCGGCGCCCUCAGUGGGAGUAUGGCUCGAGGCUUUCCCUGCGGGCGUCCAGCCCUCUGGUAUCUCCCCCGGGAACAAAAGAAUCUCACAGAAAACCUGUUUCUUGGGGUUUUGGUUCUUUCCUCUUCCCCGCACCCCGGUCCCGUCUUUGCUGCUGGAGGCUAAACCUGCCUGCUUCGCUCCGACAGCCACUCCUUAAAAUUUAA